AUUGAACGCUGGCGGCAGGCCUAACACAUGCAAGUCGAGCGGAUGAGGGGUGCUUGCACCCUGAUUCAGCGGCGGACGGGUGAGUAAUGCCUAGGAAUCUGCCCGAUAGUGGGGGACAACGUUUCGAAAGGAACGCUAAUACCGCAUACGUCCUACGGGAGAAAGUGGGGGCUCUUCGGACCUCACGCUAUCGGAUGAGCCUAGGUCGGAUUAGCUAGUUGGUGGGGUAAAGGCUCACCAAGGCGACGAUCCGUAACUGGUCUGAGAGGAUGAACAGUCACACUGGAACUGAGACACGGUCCAGACUCAUACGGGAGGCAGCAGUGGGGAAUAUUGGACAAUGGGCGAAAGCCUGAUCCAGCCAUGCCGCGUGUGUGAAGAAGGUCUUCGGAUUGUAAAGCACUUUAAGUCGGGAGGAAGGGCUGUAGGUUAAUACCUUGCAGCCUUGACGUUACCGACAGAAUAAGCACCGGCUAACUUCGUGCCAGCAGCCGCCGCAGUAA
rnacentral:rRNA from 1 species